UACAGAGGAUCCAAGCGUUAUCCGGAAUCAUUGGGUUUAAAGGGUCCGUAGGCGGUUUAAUAAGUCAGUGGUGAAAGCCCAUCGCUUAACGAUGGAACGGCCAUUGAUACUGUUAGACUUGAAUUAUUAGGAAGUAACUAGAAUAUGUAGUGUAGCGGUGAAAUGCUUAGAUAUUACAUGGAAUACCAAUUGCGAAGGCAGGUUACUACUAAUGGCUUGACGCUGAUGGACGAAAGCGUGGGGAGCGAACAGG
rnacentral:rRNA from 1 species